rnacentral:rRNA from 1 species
AGAUUGAACGCUGGCGGCAUGCUUUACACAUGCAAGUCGAACGGUAACAGGCCGCAAGGUGCUGACGAGUGGCGAACGGGUGAGUAAUGUAUCGGAACGUGCCCAGUCGUGGGGGGAUAACGCAGCGAAAGCUGCGCUAAUACCGCAUACGAUCUAUGGAUGAAAGCGGGGGACCGUAAGGCCUCGCGCGAUUGGAGCGGCCGAUAUCAGAUUAGGUAGUUGGUGGGGUAAAGGCUCACCAAGCCAACGAUCUGUAGCUGGUCUGAGAGGACGACCAGCCACACUGGGACUGAGACACGGCCCAGACUCCUACGGGAGGCAGCAGUGGGGAAUUUUGGACAAUGGGCGCAAGCCUGAUCCAGCAAUGCCGCGUGCAGGAAGAAGGCCUCGGUUGUAAACUGCUUUGUACGAACGAAACGGUACCGUGGUUAAUACCUGGGCGUAAUGACGGUAACCGUAAGAAUAAGACACCGGACUAACUAACGUACCAGCACGACCG